AUUCGCCCGUCGUGCGAAUCGGGCGGGCGAGUUGCAUUUGCGUUUCGAAAAGUUUGACGUUUGCAUUGUGUAUCAUUAGAACGAAAGAGAAGAAAGAUUUAUUUUUAUGUUUCUCUGUCCGAAAUCUUUCAUCUCGCUCAUUAGUUAUGUCAAAAAUGAUUAGAAGAGAAUUUGGAAUACGAUUGAAGUGACACAAUAUUUCAUACCAGGGUAAGUUUUUAUUUCGUAAUAAUCGAGAGAUUAUUUCGUAGAUUAAUUUAUCACCAUAAAUCAAAUUAUAGUCCGCUAUACGAGAGCAGAAAUAAGAGUGCGACCUUCAACAGAAGAUAAAUUUUUUUUCUCGUUACGUAACUGUUUUCUUUGCUUGAAAUUCAUUCAAUCUGAUCGUUUGAGAGUUGGAGAGCUUGGCCCUGAAGAAUUCCAGAUGCAAAGCUUGACGUUACAAAUAAGAUGACCAUUGUUGAAAAACGAUUAUUAAACGACGUAAUUGGUAAACUGCAACAACUAACAGAGGACAUAGGAAAACUCAAAAUUCAAAAUGCAAUUCAACAAGAAUUCCGACUUCCAAAAAGUCAAGUUGAAUUGGAUGACAUAGAGAAGAAUUUCGAAAUGCAUCAGCAAAACUUGCGUCAAAUUUUCACCAGUUUUAUGUGUCAUUCUGCACGUGCUCUGUUCAGGCAUUUUAGUGAAGAAUUGCUAAGAAAUGCAGAUUAUCACAACUGGACCGGAAUGAAAGCACACAAUGCAAUUAAAAAUAUUGAUAUAAAACGAGCAUGUGAUUUAAAAAUAUUCAAUCUCCUACUAGAAGUGGGCAUUCACAAAUUUUGUAUUGAGAGAACACUGGCUGUCUCUGAAAUGGGGCAGGCGAUAAAUUUAUUCAACGAAGCGAAAGCUGCCCGUUUGAAAAGGCGGCGAAUGUAAUUGCCAAUAAUACCUUCAAGCACUGUGGAAUUUUUGGUUACUUACAGGAAAUAUAAAAUUGCAGUCUCAAUCCAUUAUUGUAAUCAUCUUGAACAUUGAUCUAAUUGCCACUUAUUAUGUGCGCUUAGUGUAGUCUAAUUCAUUCGAAAGCAAAAUGAAAGAAAAAUCUCUUAGUUUGACUUUAGAGCUUCUACAGCUCAAUCUUUUUAUUGAUUCAUUAGAAAAAAAUCUGAUUUGUGAAACUCACGCUCACAAUGGCCAAUAUUAUUCAUCUGACUUCAUCACACACAAUCCUUUAACUGGUAAACGAUAUCAGAACUUUUUCUUUUGCCUACACUGCCCAUACUCGCAUAUAAGUCCCAUAUCGACUUUCGCCAAUUUUGAGUUAGCUUUAGGAAUGCUAUCUAUCCUCAAUAUACUCUCAGAAAUUGCAAUAAAAGUUGAGGGUUCGUUCAGUAAAAUGUGAACAAAAUAUGAACUUAUAUCAGUCCCAUUCAGUGAAAAUUUCAAUAAUUUUAUUCGUUGCAAUAUUGGAAUAGCAAAGGUGUAUUACAGAUAUUUCAUGUAAUAAUACCAUGAUUUAGCAUUGUAACACAAUCGUCUUUUUCUCGACAUGCCGGUUUUCCAUAUGGGACUGAUAUGCAAGUAUGGGCAGUACAGCGGUCAUACAGCCAUAUGCAUUCUGAAACAGUUACAAACAACAAAGGACGAAAUGUAGAAGCUUACAAUACAAUCAUUCCAAUACACGAUAAGGUCACAACCUGAACGUGAUAUAGAUACCUCGUUAACUAUCUCAACAGUACUUUCUACGAACACAUCUCAACCGACGCAAUACCAACUGGUGGCAAACGAAUUGUUCUACUUUAUGGAAACCCCAACCGGAUGCAACUGCACCGGAACAACGAGAAUUGUCAAUUUUCCGAAGAACGACGCCCACAGCUCACUAGGACGGCUUGUAAAUGUCAAUUCCAGCGUAUCACAAUAAACAAGCUCUUCUGGCCUUUUGAUACUAAGCCAUAAUGAACUACCCCAAAAAUGCACUACUUGUGACAAACAAUUCUGGAUUUACUACAAACAUCUGAGCCGAUCAUGACGACAUAAAAAUCCCACCAGAAUCUGCAAUAGGUGCUCCAAACAACCACAUCUCAUCCGACGCAAUAACAACUCUAUUGCCAAAUAAUUUCAAUUAAUAUUCGCACAGCGGUAUACGGCUGCAACUGCACUUGAAUUGAUUAAAAAACUAAGUAUCAUGGAUAAUUGAA